GACGAACGCUGGCGGCGUGCUUAACACAUGCAAGUCGAACGGAAAGGCCCUGCUUUUGUGGGGUGCUCGAGUGGCGAACGGGUGAGUAACACGUGAGUAACCUGCCCUUGACUUUGGGAUAACUUCAGGAAACUGGGGCUAAUACCGGAUAGGAGCUCCUGCUGCAUGGUGGGGGUUGGAAAGUUUCGGCGGUUGGGGAUGGACUCGCGGCUUAUCAGCUUGUUGGUGGGGUAGUGGCUUACCAAGGCUUUGACGGGUAGCCGGCCUGAGAGGGUGACCGGCCACAUUGGGACUGAGAUACGGCCCAGACUCCUACGGGAGGCAGCAGUGGGGAAUAUUGCACAAUGGGCGGAAGCCUGAUGCAGCAACGCCGCGUGCGGGAUGACGGCCUUCGGGUUGUAAACCGCUUUCGCCUGUGACGAAGCGUGAGUGACGGUAAUGGGUAAAGAAGCACCGGCUAACUACGUGCCAGCAGCCGCGGUGAUACGUAGGGUGCGAGCGUUGUCCGGAUUUAUUGGGCGUAAAGGGCUCGUAGGUGGUUGAUCGCGUCGGAAGUGUAAUCUUGGGGCUUAACCCUGAGCGUGCUUUCGAUACGGGUUGACUUGAGGAAGGUAGGGGAGAAUGGAAUUCCUGGUGGAGCGGUGGAAUGCGCAGAUAUCAGGAGGAACACCAGUGGCGAAGGCGGUUCUCUGGGCCUUUCCUGACGCUGAGGAGCGAAAGCGUGGGGAGCGAACAGGCUUAGAUACCCUGGUAGUCCACGCUGUAAACGGUGGGUACUAGGUGUGGGGUCCAUUCCACGGGUUCCGUGCCGUAGUUAACGCUUUAAGUACCCCGCCUGGGGAGUACGGCCGCAAGGCUAAAACUCAAAGGAAUUGACGGGGCCCCGCACAAGCGGCGGAGCAUGCGGAUUAAUUCGAUGCAACGCGUAGAACCUUACCUGGGUUUGACAUGGAUCGGGAGCGCUCAGAGAUGGGUGUGCCUCUUUUGGGGUCGGUUCACAGGUGGUGCAUGGCUGUCGUCAGCUCGUGUCGUGAGAUGUUGGGUUAAGUCCCGCAACGAGCGCAACCCUUGUUCACUGUUGCCAGCACGUUAUGGUGGGGACUCAGUGGAGACCGCCGGGGUCAACUCGGAGGAAGGUGGGGAUGACGUCAAGUCAUCAUGCCCCUUAUGUCCAGGGCUUCACGCAUGCUACAAUGGCUGGUACAGAGAGUGGCGAGCCUGUGAGGGUGAGCGAAUCUCGGAAAGCCGGUCUCAGUUCGGAUUGGGGUCUGCAACUCGACCUCAUGAAGUCGGAGUCGCUAGUAAUCGCAGAUCAGCAACGCUGCGGUGAAUACGUUCCCGGGGCU
rnacentral:rRNA from 1 species